rnacentral:piRNA from 1 species
UGACUAGAUCUGACCAACCCACUGAAGC